CAGCCAUCAUUUAAAGAAAGCGUAAUAGCUCACUGGUCGAGUCGGCCUGCGCGGAAGAUGUAACGGGGCUAAACCAUGCACCGAAGCUGCGGCAGCGACACUGUGUGUUGUUGGGUAGGGGAGCGUUCUGUAAGCCUGCGAAGGUGUCCCGUGAGGGAUGCUGGAGGUAUCAGAAGUGCGAAUGCUGACAUAAGUAACGAUAAAGCGGGUGAAAAGCCCGCUCGCCGGAAGACCAAGGGUUCCUGUCCAACGUUA
rnacentral:rRNA from 1 species